rnacentral:lncRNA from 10 species
GGUCCCUUGCUUUCAAAAGGAUUCGCUCCAGGGUUCCUUUGAACUGAGAGCUGCCCAGCUGUAUGUUAAAUGAGCCCAUUUACAGUACAAGGGCUCAAUUUACAUAGAAAUGCCCAGAAACAGAGCUGUCACACAAAGUGAAAGGCAUCUGCACUGUACUUUGUGUUAGCAGGAAGAUUUAAAUAUAUAGAAAAUACCAGGCGGGAGAACAUCUAUCUAUGGUUGAGCUUGAAUCCACCUCCAGCCCUCUGUUAGCUCACAAAUCAGGAGGCGGAAAUGAUUCUCCAGGUUCUUCUGGUUCCUUCUCUUGCUCCCAGUUGCCGAGGUAUUGAUCCUGCUAUUAAAGUUGUCGGAAAUUUCCACAGCUUCCCACAGAAGUCCCCAUUCUCCUCCUCAUCAGCACAUUCCGCAUGUGACCCAAAGUGUAGCAGGUGCCUGAAGCUGAUUAAAGAAAAGACAGUCUCCCGCUUCAUGGACUUUAAAUUCCCCUGAUGAAAAGGGAAUGCACAUGUGCCUUCUCAAGCCACCAAUAACAGCUGAAAAACGACAGAUUAACUUCCAAAUCAAAGAAAAAAAGGAACCAAGAAGAUUGUGCAAAUCGGAAAUGGAAGUCACUGCCUUAUCAGAAAAAUGCCAUAAUCAAAACAGUGUAUCUUCGUGGAAGGCCCAGCUGCAAAAACACAAAUCUAACCUCAAGACUAUCAGCUUAUUCAGAAAACCUACUCAUCUUUCAAAAUCCAGCUCAAGAAAAAUGUUCCCAAACUGAUGGUAUAUAGUGAGGAGAAAUUUGGACACAGACACAGACAUGGGGGAAUGCCAUCUACAAGCCAAGAAACACCUAAGACUGCCAGAAGCUGAGAGAGAGAACUGGAACAGAUUCUCCCUCAUGGGCCUCAGGAAGGUCCUCCCUCAGGCCCUCUUGCCGGCACUUUGAAUUCAAACCUGUCGCCUUCAGAACUGGGAGACAAUAAAUGUCUUGUUUAAGCCAGACAGUGUGUGAUACUUUGUUACAGCAACCCCAGAAAACAAAU